AGCAGCCGCGGUAAUUCCAGCUCCAAUAGCGUAUAUUAAAGUUGUUGCAGUUAAAAAGCUCGUAGUUGAAUUUCGGGAUCAGUUGAUCGGUCGUGCCUCGGUACGUACUGGUCAAAUUGAUUCCUACCUUCUGACGAACCACGAUGUCAUUAAUUUGAUGUCGCGGGAAAUCAGGACUGUUACUUUGAAAAAUUAGGGUGUUUAAAGCAGGCUCGCGCUUGAAUACAUUAGCAUGGAAUAAUGAAAUAGGACGUUUGAUUCUAUUUUGUUGGUUUCUAGGAUCGACGUAAUGAUUAAUAGGGAUAGUUGGGGGCAUUAGUAUUCAAUUGUCAGAGGUGAAAUUCUUGGAUUUAUUGAAGACUAACUACUGCGAAAGCAUUUGCCAAGGAUGUUUUCAUUAAUCAAGAACGAAAGUUAGGGGAUCGAAGACGAUCAGAUACCGUCGUAGUCUUAACCAUAAACUAUGCCGACUAGGGAUCGG
rnacentral:sRNA from 1 species